rnacentral:rRNA from 1 species
GUCAGGACGAACGCUGGCGGCGUGCCUAAUACAUGCAAGUCGAACGCUUCUUUUUCCACCGGAGCUUGCUCCACCGGAAAAAAGAAGAGUGGCGAACGGGUGAGUAACACGUGGGUAACCUGCCCAUCAGAAGGGGAUAACACUUGGAAACAGGUGCUAAUACCGUAUAACAAUCAAAACCGCAUGGUUUUGAUUUGAAAGGCGCUUUCGGGUGUCGCUGAUGGAUGGACCCGCGGUGCAUUAGCUAGUUGGUGAGGUAACGGCUCACCAAGGCCACGAUGCAUAGCCGACCUGAGAGGGUGAUCGGCCACAUUGGGACUGAGACACGGCCCAAACUCCUACGGGAGGCAGCAGUAGGGAAUCUUCGGCAAUGGACGAAAGUCUGACCGAGCAACGCCGCGUGAGUGAAGAAGGUUUUCGGAUCGUAAAACUCUGUUGUUAGAGAAGAACAAGGAUGAGAGUAACUGUUCAUCCCUUGACGGUAUCUAACCAGAAAGCCACGGCUAACUACGUGCCAGCAGCCGCGGUAAUACGUAGGUGGCAAGCGUUGUCCGGAUUUAUUGGGCGUAAAGCGAGCGCAGGCGGUUUCUUAAGUCUGAUGUGAAAGCCCCCGGCUCAACCGGGGAGGGUCAUUGGAAACUGGGAGACUUGAGUGCAGAAGAGGAGAGUGGAAUUCCAUGUGUAGCGGUGAAAUGCGUAGAUAUAUGGAGGAACACCAGUGGCGAAGGCGGCUCUCUGGUCUGUAACUGACGCUGAGGCUCGAAAGCGUGGGGAGCAAACAGGAUUAGAUACCCUGGUAGUCCACGCCGUAAACGAUGAGUGCUAAGUGUUGGAGGGUUUCCGCCCUUCAGUGCUGCAGCUAACGCAUAAGCACUCC